rnacentral:tRNA from 1 species
UCCAGGGUAGCCUAGUGGAUAUGGCAUCUGCCCGGUAAGUGGAGCACUGUGGGUUCGAUUCCCAUCCCUGGAC